UGAAAAUAAUAGCGGGAGCCGAGGAGUGCUCCUGCUCAGUUGAGGCAGAGGAAAGAAAAUCUUAGGGCGCACGGAGGCGAAGGAAAGGGAGAUAACGGUUUACAGACUCCACACAGACAAUGUGAAGACGGUUCUGUUUCCUCGGACUCAAGUGACACACCCGCUCCUCCCAGAGUCCUCCCAUUGAUGCUCAACCUCUGGAGAGGGGAAGCCCGGGCUGUGGACGGCGGUGGAAAUGAGCUCGGCCAUGCAGUAAGUGUGGCGACCUUGUGGCCAACCCCUCGCUGUUUCCACCGCUCUCGCCACUAAAUGAUGCCUACUGUAUCCUGCCCAGGAGGAGGAGGAGGUAGAGGAGGAGGAGGAGGAGGAGGAGGAUGGAGCCUCCACUCCUCCAAUCCCAGUUUUCUCUCAUCAGCCAAUCUGGAGGAGAAACUGAGCGACGACGCGGUGGAAACUGUCUGUGAUGGAUGUUUUCACUUGUGGAAGUUUGUGCCACGAGAACUGAACUUGUCGGGAUGAUACCCACAAAUAUAUAUAUUUUCAAUUUCAACAAUUAAAGGUGCUUUGAAAAGGCCCCGAGAUCGAAUCUCCUGCAGAAGAAGAGAUAUAUUCUUCUAUAAUUAUUCUACUCAAUCUCCUGGUCCUCUUAGUUCAGUUCACAGUGUUUUGUGUUUAUUUUGCAGACGCACAUUUUCAUUCACAGAAAAUAAUGUCAAUUGUAAAUACUGCAGAUGUUUAUCGUGUCACAGAUUAUCACUAUUGUUGUAUUAUUU